GCUGGGGUAGCUCAGUAGGCAGAGCACGUCCUUGGUAAGGACGAGGUCGGCGGUUCGAGCCCGCUCCCCAGCUCCA
rnacentral:tRNA from 1 species